CGCCCAACAUCCCAAAUAUAAAUAUUUCACUAUAAUUAAUAUUUUGUACACUUACAGGAAUAUUAAGAAAAUAUAAAUACAAAAGUCACUUCUUUCUUCAAUGUCUUUCCGAUAUGUAUUUUCGAGAACCUGUACAAACACUUGCGAUAGAAAGAUUAGUAACAAAUAAAUAAUUACCCAAAUAAAAUAAAAUCAUGUGUGCAUAUAUAUAUAUAUAUAAAGAGAGAAUUUUUAUUAAAAGUGUGGGCUCGAAUCAAAUUUUAGGUACGUCAUGGCUAAAAAAUAGUUGCUCAGUUUAUUAGCCAUCCUAAAUUGUCUUGCCAAAAUACGAAUCAUAAAAAACUUUGCGUUGUUAUAAAAAUUUCAUCAUUGUCCAAAAUUAUUUAUUUUAUUGCAUAUUUUUACAUAAUAUCCAUCUUUUUAUUUGUAAAGGCCUAAAAAAUCGAUAAAAUUUCUUUUAUCGGACAAUUAAAUUAAUACUGAAUAUAGAAGAAACAAUCAAAUACGAGUAAUUAAAUAAUAAAAAUAAAAAGAUAAAAAUAAAAUAUGUCUUAUGUCUUUUGUCUUGGGGAGAUAUCAAAGAUUAACGGAGAAGUUUUAUCAUUAUUCAAUUAAUUUAUUAAUAUCUAGAAUAAAAUAAAACCAAAACAUGCAAUUAAAAUAGUCUAAACUUGGACCCAAAUUAAAAAAUGCAAUUUCUGAAAAAAAAAAAAACUAAAUAAAUUGUGAUGGUGAAUCAAAACAAGUAUAAAACAAAGCAACAAUGAACAAAGAUUACAAAAUAAUCACAUGGAGUCACUAAAUUCACAUGGAAUCAUCAAGUGCACAAGGUUUAAUCUUAAAUAAACAUUAACUGUGAGGAGUAAAACAUUGGAGAACAAAAUCAAUAUGUCCAACAGAAAAAUCAAGAAAAAAGAUCAGGCAGCCAUGAAAACAAACAUACAUAGAUUACCGGAGAGAAAUUCAAGCAAAAUCAAUCCAAAAUUAAUAAAACAAUGUAAAGAUAGUCCAAGAUAACAAUGGCAAUACUUGAAAUUUAUUUCCGCAAAACACACAAAUAAUGGUAAAGUGAAAAGAAGAAGAUUUCACCGGGGUUUAAGUUUUUCCGGUAGCAUGGUCAUGGUUUCCGGCCAAAUCUGAAAAUAAACAGAAAAAAAAAUAAUAGCAGUCAAAAGGGAAUGGAUCACCGGUGUUGCUUCAACGGAUAUCACCGGAGCAACACCGGAGUGGCAUUUUCGGCCAGAUCUGCCCAUUUUCCGGCGAGCAACGACGGUGGUAGCAGUGUUGCGUUGAAGCUCGAACCUUUCCGGUCACUACCUCUGGCGAGACAACGACGGGAGACGACAGAAAGAGAGGAAGCUGGGGCGGCAGAUGGUUUUUGUUGGUGGCUGAAACUCGCCCGCCGGUGAUCAACUCCGGUGAGGCACAACACAGUAGAGAAAAAGGGCCGAUGUUUGUGUGUAUGUACGGUGUAUUGUAUGUUUGUGAGAGAAACAAAAUCUGUGAGCGGGUGAUUGUAAAGUGUGUAUAAAAAGUGUUAAUGAAAAAAAAAAAUAAACCCC
rnacentral:lncRNA from 1 species